rnacentral:lncRNA from 1 species
GUCCGAGAACGUUUUGCCAUGUGGGGUUGUACACUUUGCUACAGUGCUUCUUUGGAAGUUAUAUUACAUCAACAUUUCCCAAACUAUGCUCCGCGGAGCACCAGUGCUCUGCACGAAGGUUGCAAGUGCUCCGCGAAAAAAUAUUAAUAACAAAGCUUUUUUUCUACAUUUUGACUAUAAUAAUUUUACAUAUGAAUUAAUUCAUGACAUUCAUAUUGGCACCACAGAAUGUCACAUAUGCUUAAUAACCAAUCGCGGCAAACCCAGACAGGUGGUUCUCACUAGCACCAUGACGGACUCUGUGCAAUCUAAUCC